AUGCGCACCAGCAUUUCGGAUCAGAUUGUCGAAGUGUGGAACUGUUUCAAGUCACUCCAUACGAUGUGCAAGUCUCUCUACUGCGGAAACCUUGAUGGGCCGGCCCAGUUUGGGGGGUUGUACAGAAGCGGGACUCAAACUGCAGUUGCAUCGCUCAUGCCUAGCACAGAAUAUGGGAUUGCGAGAGUAAGAUGGCCUUGGUAUGAUUGGGCCCCCUUUGACAGACCAUGGAAAGGUUGUGCCCUUCCUUGCGACACUGCUGGCCGUCAGCUGUUUGCAUCCUGCACCAAGAUUAUUGUGGGUAAUGGGAACAAAUCAUCCUUCUGGAUCGAUGGCUUGAUGGUGAUGCUCCAAAAGACAGUUUUCCUACAUCAGUUUGCCCUCUCUCGCUCGAAAUCUAGCACAAUCUAUCAUGCACUCACUGACGGCAGAUGGAUGAGAGGUUUAAAUACGAUGGAUGAUGUUGCUACACUCGAGGAUUUCCUAUGUUUAUGGACGAAAGUGGAGUCGGUACAAUCUGGUAUCCUUCCUAGCAUGGAGGAUAAUUCUCUAGUUUGGACUCUUACUUCAAACAACAACUACUCAGCCAAAUCGGCCUAUGAUAUUCAGUUCAAGACAAGGAUCCCUAUAUUGGUGUUGGAUAGUGUUUGGAAGAUUAAGGCGGAAGCUAAAGUGAAAUUCUUCAUGUGGACGUUGUUGCAAAAUAGAUUAUGGACUGCCGACAGACUACAACAUCGGAACUGGGAUCAUCAUGAUCGCUGCUGCAACUGUAAUCAAGUCCUUGAGACUGCCGCUCACCUCAUCCUCUUGUGCCCUAUGACAAGGAGGUCUGGCACUACUUCAGCUCCACCAACCAAUUUGCUGCUCGACAUGCCCUCGACACAAGCUCCAUUGUGGGAUGGUGGAAAAAAGUUUUCACUCACCUUCAGAAGGAUGAUACCGUGCAGAUUUGCACCCCCUCCGCUAUUCUUGUGCAGCAUUAUUCUUGUGAUUGCAUGCACCUUGACGAUGUCAUUUUUCCCUCGCAUGUCCCGAUUGCCCAAUAAUCUCUGUGUUGGUGGUUUCAUCUUCUGA
rnacentral:rRNA from 1 species